UAAAUUAUUCCCUUCCAAAUCCUCCGAUCGACGACUCCAUCGUUAAUCGAAUCGCUGCCGGAGCCGCCAUUCAAAGGCCUGUGUCCGCCAUUUAAGAGCUUUUCGAAAGCAGCCUCGACGCCCAAUCCACCUCCGUCGAUGUCGCUGUUCCAAGACGGCGGCCUCAAACUGGCCAUGGCAUCCGUGUCUGUUUCUUUCUUAGGUCGAAAUUAAGAUGUCUUGGUGGUUUACAAUGCGCUAUCUGAGUUGAGCUAUGCUGUUUAUGGUGUAUCUGUUGCCUGCAAUCUAAUGAAAUUCGUACAGUUGGAUGCCAUUCAGAAAAUGACGGAGCCUGUUCAGAUUUCAAGAUGGAUGGUCUAAUCUCCAACUCAAAUUAUGUUGCGAAGAAGAGAAUGAUGGUGUGGAAGAAUGGUGGAAUGCAGUGCUUUAAAAAUUGCCUAAAGCACCCAAACCUUUCAUGAAAGUGUCAAUUAUAUUGCCAUCUGAGCGUUGAUGUGGAUGUUCAUCCAACCAAAAAAAGUGGUUGCAUCGUUCGAGAAACUUUACAAGAUCUUUUAGAGAUACUAAGGUUUGUAAUAACCUAAGUUUGUCGCUAGCAGGUACGGUUCUCUUUGAAACGUGUCUGUUAGGGAUAGGUUUCCACACUUUUGUAAAGAAUGAUUUUUUCUCCUCCCCAAUCGAU